GACUGUUUAUGGCACAGAAUGGAUCACAGAAAAGGUGCUUAUGUAGUACAUUGGGUCCCCGACUGGUGAUGAUUUCAGCCAGGUCUGGAUCAUCUAUGAGCUUAGAGGUGGUGUACAUCAUCAGGGUGUAGGCGGUUCUGUCUAGCAAAGAGGUGUUAUUUUCCAGGCAGGUGAGUAUGGUGGAUUUGAUCUCUUGGAGGAUCCUGGCCGCCUCGGGGUGACACGCCAGACAUUCGCACAACACGCACACGGAGCUGGUGUUGCCCCUACAUUUGAGGGAGAAGGGAAACGAGAGUAGGCACGGUCCUUGGGAGGUAUCCACCGUCUCUACAGGUGUGUCUGGCUCGGAGUAAUCGGGGUCGAGUAACAGGGACCGCUUCCAGGCCUCGCUGAAUAUCUUGAGAAGACUUGGCCUGUUGGUGUUUGAAAAGAACUCACGGUGGGGCACAGCCUUGACAGGGCAGCCAGUGGGGGGAUCUGGACUCUGGGCCCCCUUCUUGUGGGCUGUUUCCAGAGAGCUGGACCAGAUACCUUGUAUGUGAGCAGCAGACUGGACAUUACAGAUGGUAUUAGAUAACAAACUCAGGCGGACCUGGUGCAGGUUUUCCAGUUGAGCCACCUGAUCGGGGGUGGUGUGCCUGAAGCAUUGCCUGGCAAAGAAAUGAAGGUAAAAGUCUAUGCCCAUGAUCUUGCUAGAGUUUAUUUUCUCAGUAAUGAGAUGGUUUAGUCCCGCGUUAGAGAAGAUUUGCAACAUAUCACAGAUUGUUAUGUAGGUUGCGGACCAGGUCACGGGGGCAUGCAGCACGUAGAAGCAGAGGGUCGCAUACUCACUAAAAAAAGAAUCAGGGGGAUUGUGUUCCAGCACAGCUUCGAAAAGCAUGUUACAUAUCUUGCACUUGGAAGUGGGCAACAACGUGCUUGAGAUAUGAGUGAGUGUGGGAUCAUGAAAGCCUGUUUCUGGUGUGGCAGGUAGGUAGGAUUUAGAAAGUAACAUCUGCAUGAUUGAAUCGUGGGAGGUGACUGUCUCUAGAGACCAUGGUACGUACAUCUUCACCACUCGAUGGCGGCCAGUGUAUUUGAGAGGAAGGAUAGCUGUGUUAAAUACCUCCUGAGUCAUGGGGGGCAAUGGUGAUAGCUUUGCAUAUCCUCAGCUUUUAGAUUUUGAGGACAUAUUUACCGAGGACAUAGAUUCAUAUUUUUCCACAACCUAUGUAAAGUUUCACUUUUUGAACUACUGUAUCUUUUUGACCUGGUUUAUUAGUCAUAGGCACACUGAAAAGGGAUGUGUCCAUGGUCUUAUAUUUGACAGAAAGCUGUCAGCGGUCAGGGAUACCAUAUUGACCCUGGUGGACACUGAUCGGCUCAUAGACGGACAUGGCUAACCAGAAGAAGCUGAUAGACGAGCUCUGUGGGAUUGUUACUUCUUUUCUAUGUCCCCAGGGGAUUGUGCCAGAGAUUGAAAAAUGUUCUACAAAGCUGCCUCAUUUUUCUAAAGGUGGAACAAAGCCUGUGUGCACAGUGAGGCUCCAGCAUGGCCACACUUAUCACAUUGAGUUUGUGUACAAGUUUUGGCAGCACAUUUUGGGCCAGCUUCGCCUGCCCCUACAGCCUUGCUUUAUUUUGACAAAUAACGGCUUGGCCACCACUUUGAAAUGUUUUAUGAGCCCGCCAAGGGAUAUAGACUUUCAGUAUGGCAACAGGGUCAAUAUGGCCUGCGAUGUGAAUUUGGAGAAAAACUCUUGUGUUAUCAUAGAGGACGAGGAUUUCCUGAGGUUCAAGAGCUACCAUGUGUUUCCCAAGGACGUACCAAUCUAUAACUCUAUGGUGGUAUGUAGAACCUACAUCACUGAUAUGAGGAACGCAGUACAAUUUUUUGUGGUCAAGCCUGGAAACAGGAGAAAGAUUGUGCAUAUGUUGGAAAGUAUUGAGGAGAUGCCUGAAACCCCACAACAGUUGUAUUUUUGUGGUGGACGUGGGUAUAAGAUGAUAGGGGCUGGGCUCUCCCUCUUCUUUUUUGCAGCCAUAGUGGCGCUGGCCAGUAAACUAGUAUGGUGAUGGGGGCCUUGGACUAUCUGCGCUUGAUGAAUAUUUCAGUGGAUGAGUUUAGAAGCUUUUGUAUCUAUGGCCACCUCAGUGGGCAGCGUGGAUGGGGUGAGCUGUUGUUGAGCAAUCUUUCAUUUAAAAGAGCAGUGUGCCAUAUACUGAAAAUACAGUGUGAGACUAAGAAGAGGUGGACAAACAAGGUAUUGGUGGCGAAUAGUGCGUUGUCCCUACUGACCCUCUUCAGGAUGGUUCUUCAUGAAUGUGUUUUUUCACACAAAUAUUUUAUACCUGACAGGAUCGAGGACAUGUGUUUCCCGCUGACCAAAAUACUCACUGUGCCCUUCCUCAAGGCCCUAGAUCUGUAUCUCUCCCAGUUUUCCAUCUCAUGCAAGUUUCCCAUAAUUAAAAUAUCCACUGUGAAUCCUACCCUUCUGGCGUUUACCAAGAAGAAAUAUCUGGCUAGUGUUGUGUCUGAUCAACCCAUCGAGGUCCCUGCUCCAUCUGCCCGGCCUGAUCCUGUGAGGUUUACUGCUGCGGUGCCCUUAGCUUCUGAUGAGCAGUCUCUGGUGAAAGCUUUACAUUCCAGUACCGGGACAGUCCAGUGUGGAAAUCCAUUUUAUUAUAUGAUGACCAGACUUUGCUUGUAUGGACUAAUGCAUGGUAGGGGGGGAAUUGUGCCAGUUUCCAGCUCUAAUAACAGUGUGUAAUGAAUGUGGCCACUGUUUAAAUUUGGGCAGGGAUAAAUUUCUUGCAGUAAAUUUUUCCCCCACAAGUAUGUUUUAUUGCAGAGAUCAAAAGGAGAAACAGUUUAACAUAUGUGCUACAACUGGGAGGAUCUAUUGUUCAUAUUGUGGGGCGACAGAGUUUACAGUGUAUGACAUGGUGGGAAGGUAUGCUACGGGGGAGCCUUUUAUUAGGGCGGUUUCCUCAGCUAACUCCCUUAGUAUUUUAGAUAAUAGCGAACAGGAGUGUGAUAUACUGAUCCCUUGUUUUGGUAAAUCUAGGUCUUGCAGUAUUAAGCUGAGGGCGACAUUUAGGGAGCUACUUUAUUUGACAGCGUCUGUUGAUAAUUUUAUUUGUCAAAAGUGUUCCAAUAAGGGUGAUGAAUAAAGACAGGGUCAAAGCUCCAGCUUUCCACCCAGAGCUCCAUAACAAGCUUUUGGAAAGGCUUAAGGCUGCCUAUGGAAAGGACAGUAUUGGCAAAGACCCAGAAGAAGCCCCAGUUCCCCUGUUGUUGCAUACCUGUGCAGUUAGAUUCUAUGAAGAGUACAAAGAAUUGACACGUGAUAACACAUUGCCUACAUUGGUAAACAAGAAAGGAUUCCCGGGGGAUGCCAAAAUGAUGGACCCUGUCUUGGGUAUCUAUCACUCUGGAAAAAAACAGGGAGCAUCAAGUGUCCCUUCCUCUUCUGGAGCAUUUGACGGAGGGAGCCACGGUGGCCCUCUACCUUCUGUUGAUCUUCCUCAAAGGGAGGGAGGCCUGUGGUACGGACUGGGCCCUGACAAGUCUGGACUGGGUUUUGUGCUCCCCUCUGAUCCAGGGUCUAUGUCUGACGGGAACAGCUUUAGGGUUAUUCCAGACCCCUCAUCUCUAACAGACAAGGAUGACCAGAACUUGGGGGAAUCGACCAAAACAAGGAGUGGAAAUGGAAAGAAAAAGUAGACCCUUGACCAAAGACUGUUAAAUGUAAAGCUGUUUUAUUCUUUUUAGAGUAGACAGCAUAUAUGAUGAAUGGUCGUGUACACUUUUGAUUAUCUUCUCAAUAAAUAAUAAUACAUUA
rnacentral:tmRNA from 1 species